GGGUGAGCUGGGCUCUGAAGAGGCACACAGGGAGAGGCAGCAUCAGGAGAGGAUGACUGAGGAGCGAUUUAGUGCUUUCGCCUUCUCUGAACUGGGAUAAUUAUGAAGUUAUAUCAGUUUGCCACGGCUGAAAGUCUGACCCAGAUGAGCAGAAAUGCAAAUUGGACAUGAAAACCCAAACUUAGCAUACUUGUCUUCAUGCAUGAGGGAGCACCUGGCAAUGGGCUGGAGGGAAAAGUCCUUGAAGCUGGAAACUGUGAUUAACUUUGGGAAUCUGACUUCAGCUGUCUGAAGACAGGCAACCAGAAGUGCAUACUGCAAACCCAGCUUUCACUCCAUGAGGCUGCGACCAAGGAGUGAAGUGGACUCUGAAUAAGAGGAAGAUGCCACCAGGCAGAUGCAAACAGGGUUCUGAUUUGGAGCCCUUCUACAGGUAGGACUGCAGUUUGGCAUUGCAUUAACCUGAAGGUGAGAAUCAUACCUGAUGCUGAAUUCUUCUUCCCAGCAUCUACUUUUGCCUCCCAAUCUGAUUUGAGUCAGGAGAGAGGCAGAAUCUCGCCAGGCAAUUCAGAUACAGAUUUAAGGCUGGUUUGCUCCAAACUGACUCAAGAUGCUUGGGUCUUCAAAUGCAAAUCCAAAGACAGCAUUCAUCUAUGACUCACAUAAGGUCUCCUGAAGUUUUUUGCUUCUGAAGUAAGCAGUUGCCUCAAAGGCUGGCUGAUCCAUGUAGGAUUUUCCUGCUCUCCUUUCCCCUUGAGAGUAGUUGUUACUUUCGUGCAGGGUAUUAUUUGUAUGAUGUGGUCCCAAUGUCCCAUGCUGCACAAAGGUACCACUGAUUUUUUUUUUUUUUUUUUUGCAAAUUUAAG